rnacentral:rRNA from 1 species
ACGUUAGCGGCGGACGGGUGAGUAACACUGGGUAACCUACCUAUAAGACUGGGAUAACUUCGGGAAACCGGAGCUAAUACCGGAUAAUAUUUCGAACCGCAUGGUUCGAUAGUGAAAGGUGGUUUUGCUAUCACUUAUAGAUGGACCCGCGCCGUAUUAGCUAGUUGGUAAGAUAACGGCUUACCAAGGCGACGAUACGUAGCCGACCUGAGAGGGUGAUCGGCCACACUGGAACUGAGACACGGUCCAGACUCCUACGGGAGGCAGCAGCU